CGUCAAGUCAUCAUGGCCCUUAUGUCCAGGGCUACACACGUGCUACAAUGGCCGGUACAAAGGGUUGCGAAGCUGUGAAGUGAAGCUAAUACCCAAAAAGCCGGUCUCAGUUCGGAUUGGAGUCUGCAACUCGACUCCAUGAAGUUGGAAUCGCUAGUAAUCGCGUAUCAGCAUGACGCGGUGAAUACGUUCCCGGGCCUU
rnacentral:rRNA from 1 species